UGGCUCAGACGGUAAAGCAUCUGCCUACAAUGCAGGAGACCCAAGUUCAAUCCUUGG
rnacentral:tRNA from 1 species